UACGUAGGGCGCAAGUGUUAUCCGGAAUUAUUGGGCGUAAAGAGCUCGUAGGCGGUUUGUCGCGUCUGCCGUGAAAGUCCGGGGCUCAACUCCGGAUCUGCGGUGGGUACGGGCAGACUAGAGUGCAGUAGGGGAGACUGGAAUUCCUGGUGUAGCGGUGAAAUGCGCAGAUAUCAGGAGGAACACCGAUGGCGAAGGCAGGUCUCUGGGCUGUAACUGACGCUGAGGAGCGAAAGCAUGGGGAGCGAACAGG
rnacentral:rRNA from 1 species